GACUUACCCGUAUUUGAGUACCUACUACGUGAUAGGCACGUGGCUGAGGGCCAUUUUCAGUUUCUUGAUAUUAUAAAACACAUUUUGACCUCUAGGAAACCUCCUGCAGUUCACAUCAG
rfam:Tursiops truncatus cont1.248939, whole genome shotgun sequence.